UACGUAGGGGGCAAGCGUUGUCCGGAAUCAUUGGGCGUAAAGAGCGUGUAGGCGGCUCGAUAAGUCCGCUGUGAAAGUCCAGGGCUCAACCCUGGAAGGCCGGUGGAAACUGUCGGGCUAGAGUCCGGAAGAGGCGAGUGGAAUUCCCGGUGUAGCGGUGAAAUGCGCAGAUAUCGGGAGGAACACCAAUGGCGAAGGCAGCUCUCUGGGACGGUACUGACGCUGAGACGCGAAAGCGUGGGGAGCGAACAGG
rnacentral:rRNA from 1 species